GACGAACCGGACAAACGUUAUUCGGAAUCAUUGGGCUUAAAGGGUGCGUAGGCGGUGCUGUAAGGCGGGUGGGAAAUGCCUCAGCGCGACUGAGGAAUUGCGCCCGCUACUGCGGUGCUUGAGGGAGACAGAGGUAAGCGGAACUGAUGGUGGACCGGAGAAAUGCGUUGAUAUCAUCAGGACCACCAGUGGCGAACGCGGCUUACUGGGUCUCUUCUGAAGCUGAGGCACGCAAGCUCGGGUUGCAAGCGGG
rnacentral:rRNA from 1 species